rnacentral:tRNA from 1 species
GACUAGUUAGCUUAGUUGGUAGUGCGUCUGCCUUGUAAGCGCUAGGCCGCGGGUUCGAUUCCCGCUCGGGGCG